GACGAACGCUGGCGGCGCGCCUAACACAUGCAAGUCGAACGAGCGAGAGAGAGCUUGCUUUCUCAAGCGAGUGGCGAACGGGUGAGUAACGCGUGAGGAACCUGCCUCAAAGAGGGGGACAACAGUUGGAAACGACUGCUAAUACCGCAUAAGCCCACGACCCGGCAUCGGGUAGAGGGAAAAGGAGCAAUCCGCUUUGAGAUGGCCUCGCGUCCGAUUAGCUAGUUGGUGAGGUAACGGCCCACCAAGGCGACGAUCGGUAGCCGGACUGAGAGGCUGAACGGCCACAUUGGGACUGAGACACGGCCCAGACUCCUACGGGAGGCAGCAGUGGGGAAUAUUGCACAAUGGGGGAAACCCUGAUGCAGCGACGCCGCGUGGAGGAAGAAGGUCUUCGGAUUGUAAACUCCUGUUGUUGAGGAAGAUAAUGACGGUACUCAACAAGGAAGUGACGGCUAACUACGUG
rnacentral:rRNA from 1 species